rnacentral:rRNA from 1 species
UAUUCCCCACUGCUGCCUCCCGUAGGAGUCUGGGCCGUGUCUCAGUCCCAAUCUGGCCGGUCGGUCUCUCAACCCGGCUACCCAUAAUCGCCUUGGUGGGCCGUUACCCCGCCAACAAGCUAACAGGCCGCGGGCCCAUCCCUCGCCGUCAGGGCUUUCCCGGCACCCCCAUGCGGGGGUCCCGGAGUAUCCGGUAUUAACCACGGUUUCCCGAGGCUAUCCCGGUGCGAGGGGCAGGUUGCCCACGUGUUACUCAGCCGUUCGCCACUUUAUACACACCCGAAGGUGCUUUAACCGUUCGACUUGCAUGUGUUAGGCGCGCCGCCAGCGUUCAUCCUGAGCCAA